rnacentral:rRNA from 1 species
GACGAACGCUGGCGGCGUGCUUAACACAUGCAAGUCGAACGGAAAGGCCCUGCUUUUGUGGGGUGCUCGAGUGGCGAACGGGUGAGUAACACGUGAGUAACCUGUCCUUGACUUUGGGAUAACUUCAGGAAACUGGGGCUAAUACCGGAUAGGAGCUCCUGCUGCAUGGUGGGGGUUGGAAAGUUUCGGCGGUUGGGGAUGGACUCGCGGCUUAUCAGCUUGUUGGUGGGGUAGUGGCUUACCAAGGCUUUGACGGGUAGCCGGCCUGAGAGGGGGACCGGCCACAUUGGGACUGAGAUACGACCCAGACUCCUACGGGACGCAGCAGUGGAGAAUAUUACACAAUGGGCGGAAGCCUGAUGCAGCAACGCCGCGUGCGGGAUGACGGCCUUCGGGUUGUAAACCGCUUUCGCCUGUGACGAGGCGUGAGUGACGGUAAUGGGUAAAGAAGCACCGGCUAACUACGUG